UUAGUACUAAAGGUGAAGGAGUAUGAUACUGGAAGAACAUGUUGACAGACUGAACCUCUGGAUGUAAACCUGCAUAAAAAUCUUAUGGCAAUAUUUGGCUGGAAACAGAGAGCUUGCAUAACUAAGUGAAACCUCACUUGAAGCUGGAGAAAGAGAAGUGUCAAGAGUGUUGUAGUUUCACCCCAGCAGGCACUUGCUCAUCCUGCACCAGCAGAGAGAGAAUCAGAAAGACAAAGGAAGCUUUUGUGUGCAGGAAGGCAGAAGGGUGUCAGCACACUUCGUUCAGCAAGAGCACCAUUGGCAAGAUGGAACUAUUAAUUUUGAAUCAUCCCACAGAAGGAACCCCUGAGGCUCAGAUCAGGAUGCAGAUCACUUAUCUAGGAGAGGAAGGCCCUGUAUAUUAAAACAA